rnacentral:rRNA from 1 species
CCAGACUCCUACGGGAGGCAGCAGUGAGGAAUAUUGGUCAAUGGGCGAGAGCCUGAACCAGCCAAGUCGCGUGAGGGAAGACGGUCCUAUGGAUUGUAAACCUCUUUUGUCGGGGAGCAAAAAGGCCUCGUGAGGCCACAAGUGAGAGUACCCGAAGAAAAAGCAUCGGCUAACUCCGUGCCAGCAGCCGCGGUAAUACGGAGGAUGCGAGCGUUAUCCGGAUUUAUUGGGUUUAAAGGGUGCGUAGGCGGACUGGAAAGUCAGCGGUAAAAUCGAGAGGCUCAACCUCUUUCCGCCGUUGAAACUGUCGGUCUUGAGUGGGCGAGAAGUAUGCGGAAUGCGUGGUGUAGCGGUGAAAUGCAUAGAUAUCACGCAGAACUCCGAUUGCGAAGGCAGCAUACCGGCGCCCGACUGACGCUGAGGCACGAAAGCGUGGGUAUCGAACAGGAUUAGAUACCCCAGUA